rnacentral:rRNA from 1 species
GGCGGACGGGUGAGUAACGCGUAGGAAUCUACCUAGUAGUGGGGGAUAGCCAAGGGAAACUUUGGGUAAUACCGCGUACGAUCUAAGGAUGAAAGGGGGCCUCUCUUUGAAGCUCUCGCUAUUAGAUGAGCCUGCGUAAGAUUAGCUUGUUGGUGGGGUAAUGGCCCACCAAGGCGACGAUCUUUAGCUGGUCUGAGAGGAUGAUCAGUCACACUGGAACUGAGACACGGUCCAGACUCCUACGGGAGGCAGCAGUCGGGAAUAUUGGACAAUGGGGGAAACCCUGAUCCAGCCAUGCCGCGUGUGUGAAGAAGGCCCUAGGGUUGUAAAGCACUUUUAGUAGUGAGGAAGGCUCAGUAGUUAAUACCUACUGGGAUUGACGUUAGCUACAGAAAAAGCACCGGCUAGUUUCGUGCCAGCAGCCGCGGUAAUACGAAAGGUGCAAGCGUUAAUCGGAAUUACUGGGCGUAAAGCGCGC